rnacentral:rRNA from 1 species
AACGAACGCUGGCGGCAUGCCUAACACAUGCAAGUCGAACGAAGGCUUCGGCCUUAGUGGCGCACGGGUGCGUAACGCGUGGGAAUCUGCCCUUGGGUUCGGAAUAACAGUUGGAAACGACUGCUAAUACCGGAUGAUGUCGCGAGACCAAAGAUUUAUCGCCCAGGGAUGAGCCCGCGUCGGAUUAGGUAGUUGGUGGGGUAAAGGCCUACCAAGCCGACGAUCCGUAGCUGGUCUGAGAGGAUGAUCAGCCACACUGGGACUGAGACACGGCCCAGACUCCUACGGGAGGCAGCAGUGGGGAAUAUUGGACAAUGGGCGAAAGCCUGAUCCAGCAAUGCCGCGUGAGUGAUGAAGGCCUUAGGGUUGUAAAGCUCUUUUACCCGGGAUGAUAAUGACAGUACCGGGAGAAUAAGCUCCGGCUAACUCCGUGCCAGCCGCCGCCGGUAAUAC